rnacentral:rRNA from 1 species
GAUGAACGCUGGCGGCGUGCCUAAUACAUGCAAGUCGAGCGAACAGACGAGGAGCUUGCUCCUUCGACGUUAGCGGCGGACGGGUGAGUAACACGUAGGUAACCUACCUAUAAGACUGGGAUAACUUCGGGAAACCGGAGCUAAUACCGGAUAAUAUUUCGAACCGCAUGGUUCGAUAGUGAAAGAUGGCUUUGCUAUCACUUAUAGAUGGACCUGCGCCGUAUUAGCUAGUUGGUAAGGUAACGGCUUACCAAGGCAACGAUACGUAGCCGACCUGAGAGGGUGAUCGGCCACCCUGGAACUGAGACACGGUCCAGACUCCUACGGGAGGCAGCAGUAGGGAAUCUUCCGCAAUGGGCGAAAGCCUGACGGAGCAACGCCGCGUGAGUGAUGAAGGUCUUCGGAUCGUAAAACUCUGUUAUUAGGGAAGAACAAACGUGUAAGUAACUGUGCACGUCUUGACGGUACCUAAUCAGAAAGCCACGGCUAACUACGUG